AGGGGACCAAACUCAGUGGAAGCAUCCAAGCAUGCCCUUGUUGUUAACACACUUCAAAAUGGAACUUAUACUCUCGCUCUACUCUAUUUACACAGAACCCAUCCAAACUCUCGCAACCAAACAAAGGUGCACAAAUACGUAUCAAGACCCACUCGUGUAGUGUUUUUGGACUUCAUUACUAGCGUACAUAUCCGCCACCCAGCUCCAGAGAAGUCAUUUCCCACCAACACAAGGCCACAAUCAACAAGCACAUGUUAUGGUCAUGUCCGUACAACGUGUUGAGACACUAGUGCAAGUCUCAAAGUUCUUGAGAGAUCGUUUUUUCCGCCGACAAUGAUGUGAAGGUUCAUGGGUCGCUUAUACACCUUUGUAAGAAGGAGCUUACUUGUGAAGGUGUCAUUCCUAAUGUCUCCAAAUCCUAGUGUGUCCUAAUUCACCUAGUACUAACACACACAUGGACAAUCACAAACUUGAAAAAGAAAGGUGAGUCUUCUUAGGCCUCCUUUGGUUCAUAGGGUAGGACAAUCAUAGGAAUUGUGAUGGCAUGAAUCUCAAAUCCUAUGAAUAGGAAUAGGAAAGGAGAUGCUCUUUGGUUCACAUCAUAAGAUUUUUUCCAUUGAGUCUAGGCUAAUAUUUAUUUCCAAUGAAAUGUGAACGAUAGGAAGAAUUCCUCCAUAUGAAUAGGAUUUUAUUCCUCCAAACUAAAGGGCUCUAAAAGAAAUUUUCCUAUAGAAAUCAUACCCUCUGGAAUUCCUACAAACUUCCUCCAAACCAAAGAGGCCUUUAUAUGGUCAG
rnacentral:lncRNA from 1 species